CUCCGCCUCCACCAGGAAGCAGUUCCAAGGGCUCCGGGCAGCAUUUCUGCGGCCGUGCGACUCAGCAUCUUCAAGGGCUGACACGUUGCGUGUGCUUUGACAAACAGCUCUGGGUUCCUCCAAAAACAGUGAGCAGCAGACAAAGAGCUGAGCAGAGCAUGCCCCAUAUGGUCCUGCAUGGGAAAAGGCCAAGGCAGAAACGCAGUCAGCAAGGUCUGUCACUGGUCCCUCACAUUGCUGGGAGCCAGCAAUCAGAAGGGACUGAUCAACUCUACAGCUUCUACAGAGACCUCCAGGCAUUUUUGUUACAGGCUUUUGCUGAUGGAGGCACUGAGACUGUCUUGUGCUUCACUGUCACAGUGCAAUGAAUCUCCUGCUACAGCCCUACCAGAAUAGGCUUUUACAAGCAAGACAGUUGAAGAGUAAUUUCUGAUCGCCGUUCAUACUGAGGUCAGCCAGCACUGAGACAUCCUCCGCUUCAUCAAAUGUGCUGGCAUCACUACCAGCAGCUGCUAUCUCCCUGAACCCAAAGCAGCCCAUUUCCCAGUAUGUAACGUCACAUUUAAGGCCCUUUCUGCUUAGCGCUGUCUACAUCCAGCAGCUGCCCCUGCUCAUCCGCACUUCUGUUUAUCUGUCCACCCCCAUACAGACCAGACGGGCUGAGGAAGGCUGGCCUUGCCGUGUCCUCACUGCUGUCAGUACCAUCUGAACCCUAUCAGGAACACGAGUCCCCGUGGCACUGUUUGUAAACACAAUUGGAAGAGGGAGUGUCAGGUCAGCAGAUCUAAUCUCAACUCCUGAUGUGUCCCUGAGGUGAGAGGUUUUCUGCCUGCUGAUAACAGCAGUUAGAUGACUCAGGUGGACCUGUGAAGAAAGGCAUCCCCCAAAGGAUGCAGUGAGAGCACUCAGUUGCCUCACACACUUGUGGGGAGUAAGGAACUGUAGGACCAAGCAGCACCUCCCUCAUCUGCAAAGGUAACGUCCCAGAGGUUCUGUGACAGGUCUGCCACCUGUUAGGCAUGCAGAUGGCUCUCAGUUCUUUGGCCUCAACACAACUUGCAGGAGCCAAGACACUGCAUCUGUAUUUCCCCUAUUUGCCAACUUCCUUCCAGUUGAAGGGGGGAGGGAGCAGAGCGAGAACCAGAGCAAAAAAGAAACCCAACACAGACCAUAAAGCAAAACAAGAUGAGGGAGUCACGCUUCUUUUCACCCUCUCAUACAGGCUGAUUCCAGAAUGUUCUCCCCACCUGCCCCCAAACUACACAUUUUCACAGAGCAAAGUCCUACCAGCUCUGCAAAGCCCUGCAGAAAAGCAGGAUGGGGGAAGGGGAGCUCGGAGCUCGUUCCACAUACGCUGGCCUCGCCUCCUCCUCCCUGUGCAGAGGGAAAAGAACUCCAAAAAGCUAUGCAAACAUAUUUAAAACGUUCAGAAACUCCACGAAUUUGCAAGCAGUUGCGCCGUCACUUUCUCAAGGCGCUCCCAGAGAGACAGAAGCUCAUCUAUUAAACAAAUCGCACGCACAAAGAGUCUCAGAUUCUUCUCUUGAGCACAUCUGGAACAAGCCUCCCUAGGUGUCUCUCUCAUCCACGAGUACACAAAAGAGAGCUUGUCCCGACCGAGGGCCGGCAACACCCCCUCCUCCCUCUCCCGUUCAGGAGCUCCAGCCGACUCCAUUGCACCAACAGCGGGGAAAACCAACUCCAUUCGCACCCUCAGAACGGAGGGCAUCCCUACCCAAACGGGCAAACAGACAAACCGCCACCUAAAGGAGCCCCCCAGUCCGGGAGGCGUUUCCACAGUGCAAUAGCAACCCGACAGCGCCAAGAGGACCGCGUUCCCCCGACCGAAGCCCCUCACCGCGCCGACAGACUCACCUCGGGGGGGAGAGAGAAGGGGGAACCACCGCCGAAAGCCGGCGGGGCUGCUGGGCCGGGGCCUGGGGCUGCCUCGGCGUGCCCGCCGGGAGAGGCAAUAGAAAUGAAGGGGGGAGCUGCUGAGUCCCGACGCUUCCGACCAACUCUCGGAAAAGCCUCGCCCAGGCAAAGUUGUUUGACCAUAAAAGGAGAGAGGCUGUGCGAACAGCUGAGCUCACUCGCUGGGGAAUGUAGCAAUGAGGGCAGCAGACCUUCACUGCCAUGGCUCCUGGGGCUUGUUCACAGGCACAUGUCCUCUCUCUCACACUGCUCUCCCACACCUGCUCACUGCAGCAGGACCUGGCGCCUGAGCUCAACCUCAACUAGUCAGCCAAGGCCUAGAGAACAUAGCGGGAUGCAGCUGAAACACAGAUGAGUAAUUGCGACGUGCCCAUGGAUGUGGUUGGAUAUGGAUGUCUGCCAGAAUUUGUUCUGCUUGGAAAGCAGCUAUACCCUUGCAGUUUCCACAGCCUGAUGCCCUAAUCCUUGCCACCAGCAAGAAAGGUUGAGAUGUAUUUGGUUGUUUUGUGCAAGCAGUGCUUGUCAGAACUGACUGUCAAAGAAACAGAUGUGUCUGUCUGCUAAUUAAAGAGCCUACACUUCC